GUGGGGAAUAUUGGGCAAUGGGCGCAAGCCUGACCCAGCAACGCCGCGUGAAGGAAGAAGGCUUUCGGGUUGUAAACUUCUUUUACCAGGGACGAAACAAAUGACGGUACCUGGUGAAUAAGCCACGGCUAACUACGUGCCAGCAGCCGCGGUAAUACGUAGGUGGCGAGCGUUAUCCGGAUUUAUUGGGUGUAAAGGGCGUGUAGGCGGGACAGCAAGUCAGAUGUGAAAACCAGAGGCUCAACCUCUGGCCUGCAUUUGAAACUGUUGUUCUUGAGUGUCGGGGAGGUAAUCGGAAUUCCGUGUGUAGCGGUGAAAUGCGUAGAUAUACGGAGGAACACCAGUGGCGAAGGCGGAUUACUGGACGAUAACUGACGCUGAGGCGCGAAAGCGUGGGGAGCGAACAGGAUUAGAUACCCCGGUAGUCC
rnacentral:rRNA from 1 species